UCGGUAUGUACUGGUGUUACUGGUUCCUACCUUCCGACGAACCGUCAUGUCAUUAAUUUGGUGUGGCGGGAAAUCAGGACUGUUACUUUGAAAAAAUUAGAGUGUUUAAAGCAGGCUCGCGCUUGAAUACAUUAGCAUGGAAUAAUGAAAUAGGACGUUCGAUCCUAUUUUGUUGGUUUCUAGGAUUGACGUAAUGAUUAAUAGGGAUAGUUGGGGGCAUUAGUAUUCAAUUGUCAGAGGUGAAAUUCUUGGAUUUAUUGAAGACUAACUACUGCGAAAGCAUUUGCCAAGGAUGUUUUCAUUAAUCAAGAACGAAAGUUAGGGGAUCGAAGACGAUCAGAUACCGUCGUAGUCUUAACCAUAAACUAUGCCGACUAGGGAUCGGAUGAUGUUAAUUUUUUAAUGACUCAUUCGGCGCCUUACG
rnacentral:rRNA from 1 species